rnacentral:rRNA from 1 species
GACGAACGCUGGCGGCGUGCCUAACACAUGCAAGUCGUACGAGAAAGCCGGCUUCGGCUGGUGAGUAAAGUGGCGCACGGGUGAGUAACGCGUGGAUAAUCUGCCCUUAAGUGUGGAAUAACGUACCGAAAGGUGCGCUAAUACCGCAUAAUGCCUGGCAACACAAGUUGUCCGGCCAAAGAAGGCCUCUGUUUACAAGCUUUCGCUUCAGGAUGAGUCCGCGUACCAUUAGCUUGUUGGUGGGGUAAUGGCCUACCAAGGCUGCGAUGGUUAGCUGGUCUGAGAGGAUGAUCAGCCACACUGGAACUGAGACACGGUCCAGACUCCUACGGGAGGCAGCAGUGAGGAAUAUUGCGCAAUGGGGGCAACCCUGACGCAGCAACGCCGCGUGAGUGAGGAAGGUUUUCGGACUGUAAAGCUCUGUCGAGCGGGAAGAAGUGUACCAUGGCUAAUAUCCAUGAUAUUUGACGGUACCGCUAGAGG